UACGUAGGGGGCUAGCGUUGUCCGGAAUCAUUGGGCGUAAAGCGCGUGUAGGCGGUUCGGUAAGUCCGCUGUGAAAGUCGGGGGCUCAACCCUCGGAAGCCGGUGGAUACUGUCGGGCUAGAGUACGGAAGAGGCGAGUGGAAUUCCUGGUGUAGCGGUGAAAUGCGCAGAUAUCAAGGAGGAACACCAAUUGCGAAGGCAGCUCGCUGGGACGUUACUGAGCUGAGACGCGAAAGCGUGGGGGAGCAAAACGGG
rnacentral:rRNA from 1 species